rnacentral:misc_RNA from 1 species
GAUGAAGAACGCAGCGAAAUGCGAUAAGUAAUGUGAAUUGCAGAAUUCAGUGAAUCAUCGAAUCUUUGAACGCACAUUGCGCCCCUUGGUAUCCCGAGGGGCAUGCCUGUUCGAGCGUCAUUAUAACCCCUCAAGCUCAGCUUGGUGUUGGGGCCUGCUGCACUGGCAGCCCUUAAAAUCAGUGGCGGCGCCAUCUGGCUCUAAGCGUAGUAAUUCUUCUCGCUAUGGAGUCCUGGUGGAUGCUUGCCAUCAACCCCCAAUUUUUCUAUGGUUGACCUCGGAUCAGGUAGGGAUACCCGCUGAACUUAAGCAUAUCAAUAAGCGGAGGA